ACGAAGGGUGCAAGCGUUACUCGGAAUUACUGGGCGUAAAGCGUGCGUAGGUGGUUCGUUAAGUCUGAUGUGAAAGCCCACGGCUCAACCGUGGAGGGUCAUUGGAAACUGGGGGACUUGAGUGCAGAAGAGGAAAGCGGAAUUCCACGUGUAGCGGUGAAAUGCGUAGAGAUGUGGAGGAACACCAGUGGCGAAGGCGGCUUUCUGGUCUGUAACUGACGCUGAGGCGCGAAAGCGGGGGGAGCAAACAGGA
rnacentral:rRNA from 1 species